rnacentral:rRNA from 11 species
GACCUAACGCGAACCCGAAAGGGGUAGUGGAUGGAAAGCAGGUUAAUAUUCCUGCGCCCGCUCUCAAAGAAAGUGACGGAUCUCCCAGAUGUUUACGUACUGACGGAAAUGUACGUUGAGCCUAGCCUUCGGGCGAAGCGAAAACAAGUAAGAGGUUCCAAGAAAAGCGAGAGAAGCGGCCCGUACCCUAAACCGACACAGGUGGUUGGGAUGAGUAUUCUAAGGCGCUCGAGAGAUUCAUGGCUAAGGAACUAGGCAAAAUCGACCCGUAACUUCGGGAGAAGGGUCGCCCACAUUUAUUUGUGGGCCGCAGUGAAGAGGUCCAGGCGACUGUUUAUCAAAAACACAGGGCUCUGCCAAAUCGAAAGAUGACGUAUAGGGCCUGACACCUGCCCGGUGCCGGAAG